CAGCAGCCGCGGGAAUACGAAGGGGGCUAGCGUUGCUCGGAAUCACUGGGCGUAAAGGGUGCGUAGGCGGGUCUUUAAGUCAGGGGUGAAAUCCUGGAGCUCAACUCCAGAACUGCCUUUAAUACUGAAGAUCUUGAGUUCGGGAGAGGUGAGUGGAACUGCGAGUGUAGAGGUGAAAUUCGUAGAUAUUCGCAAGAACACCAGUGGCGAAGGCGGCUCACUGGCCCGAUACUGACGCUGAGGCACGAAAGCGUGGGGAGCAAACAGGAUUAGAUACCCCCGUAGUCCCUGUCUCUUAUAC
rnacentral:rRNA from 1 species